UAGGGAAUUUUCGUCAAUGGGGGCAACCCUGAACGAGCAAUGCCGCGUGAGCGAAGAAGGUCUUCGGAUUGUAAAGCUCUGUUGCCGGGGGAAAAAGGAAGGAAAGAGGAAAUGCUUUUACUUUGGAUGGUACCCGGCCAGAAAGUCACGGCUAACUACGUGCC
rnacentral:rRNA from 1 species